rnacentral:rRNA from 1 species
UUUUGGACAAUGGGCGCAAGCCUGAUCCAGCAAUGCCGCGUGAGUGAAGAAGGCCUUCGGGCUGUAAAGCUCUUUUGUCAGGGAAGAAACGGUGAGCUCUAAUACAGUUUGCUAAUGACGGUACCUGAAGAAUAAGCACCGGCUAACUACGUGCCAGCAGCCGCGGUAAUACGUAGGGUGCAAGCGUUAAUCGGAAUUACUGGGCGUAAAGCGUGCGCAGGCGGUUAUGUAAGUCAGAUGUGAAAUCCCCGGGCCCAACCUGGGAAUGGCAUUUGAGACUGCAUGGCUAGAGUGUGUCAGAGGGGGGUAGAAUUCCACGUGUAGCAGUGAAAUGCGUAGAGAUGUGGAGGAAUACCGAUGGCGAAGGCAGCCCCCUGGGAUAACACUGACGCUCAUGCACGAA